rnacentral:rRNA from 1 species
UCAAGCUAUAAAGAGCGUAGGGAGAAUGACUUGGCAUCAGGAGCCGAAGAAGGACGUGACAAGCUGCGAAAAGCUGCGGUUAGGAGCAAAUAUCCAUAGACCCGCAGAUAUCCGAAUGGGGAAACCCGGUACGGCAAUACCGUAUCACUGCAUGGUAAAUACAUAGCCAUGUGGAGGAAACCCUCUGAACUGAAACAUCUAAGUAGGAGGAGGAAGAGAAAGAAACAUCGAUUUCCUAAGUAGCGGCGAGCGAAAGGGAAAGAGGCCAAACCAGAGAUAGCAAUAUCUUUGGGGUUGCGGACUGCGUAAUUGAUUCAAUAUUUUUAGCAGAAGUGUAUGGGAAGACACACCAUAGUAGGUAAUAGUCCUGUAAGCGAAAAGGAUAUUGACAAGGCAGGAUCCAGAGUACCACCGGACACGAGGAACCCGGUGGGAAGCCGGGGGGACCACCCCCCAAGCCUAAAUACUACCUGAUGACCGAUAGUGAAAAGUACAGUGAUGGAAAGUUGAAAAGAACCCCGGAAGGGGAGUGAAACAGAAUCUGAAACCCUAUGUUUACAAGCUGCUAAAGCACCAUAUGAGUGCGAUAGCGUACUUUUUGUAGAACGGUCCGGCGAGUGUAUGUUGCAAGCGAGGUUAAGGUGUUAAGCACUGAAGCCGAAGGGAGACCGAGUGUGAAUAGCGCGUACAGUUUGCAGUAUACGACCCGAAACCGGGUGACCUAACCAUGGACAGGUUGAAGUGGAAGUAAAAUUCCAUGGAGGACCGAACCCACGUCUGUUGAAAAAGGCGGGGAUGAGCUGUGGUUAGCGGUGAAAUUCCAAUCGAACUCGGAUAUAGCUGGUUCUCAUCGAAAUAGCUUUAGGGCUAGCCUCAGGAUAGUUUAGCGGAGGUAAAGCACUGAAUGGGCUAGGGGGCUUCACGGCUUACCGAACCCUAUCAAACUCUGAAUGCCGCAUAAAUGUUUCCUGGGAGUCAGACUGCGUGAGAUAAGUUUCGUAGUCAAAAGGGAAAGAGCCCAGACCUACAGCUAAGGUCCCUAAAUGAAUUUAAGUGGAAAAGGAUGUGCAGUUGCGUAGACAACUAGGACGUUGGCUUAGAAGCAGCCACUCAUUUAAAGAGUGCGUAAUAGCUCACUAGUCGAGUGAUUGUGCGCCGAAAAUGUAACGGGGCUAAAAUUCAUACCGAAGCUUAGGAAUGAUAGUAAUAUUGUUGGUAGAUGAGCGUUGUGUAAGUCUGCGAAGCUACACCGAAAGGAGUAGUGGAGAUAUCACAAGUGAGAAUGCCGGAAUGAGUAGCGAGAAUUAUGUGAGAAUCAUAAUGGCCGAAAAUCUAAGGUUUCUUGAGGAAGGUUCGUCCGCUCAAGGUAAGCCGGGAGCUAAGGCGAGGCCGAGAGGCGUAGUCGAUGCACAUACGGUAAAGAUUCCGUAGCCACCGAAGUCGUUAAAUACAGGGACACAGGAACAUAGCCCAUCCCCACCGUUGGUUGAGUGGGGCGUAAGGGAGCGAAAAUUAGUAGCGAAGUGGGUGAUUGUACACUGGCGAGAAAAGCUGUAUGAAUUGACCAGGUGCCCGUACCGCAAACCGACACAGGUAGAUGAGGAGAGAAUCCUAAGACCAGCGGGAGAAGUGUUGUUAAGGAACUCGGCAAAAUGACCCCGUAACUUCGGGAUAAGGGGAGCCUACGCGAGUAGGCCGCAGAGAAUAGUCUCAAGCGACUGUUUAGCAAAAACACAGGUCUAUGCUAAAUCGAAAGAUGAUGUAUAUGGGCUGACGCCUGCCCGGUGCUGGAAGGUUAAGGGGAAGUGUUAGAGCAAUCGAAGCACUGAACUUAAGCCCCAGUAAACGGCGGCCGUAACUAUAACGGUCCUAAGGUAGCGAAAUUCCUUGUCAGGUAAGUUCUGACCCGCACGAAUGGCGUAACGACUUGAGAGCUGUCUCAACAACAUACCCGGCGAAAUUGAAGUACUGGUAAAGAUGCCAGUUACCCGUGAUAAGACGGAAAGACCCCAUGGAGCUUUACUGUAACUUGAUAUUGAAUUUUUGUAUUACAUGUACAGGAUAGGUGGGAGACAGAGAACUAAUGCCGCCAGGUGUUAGGGAGUCGAUGUUGGGAUACCACUCUUGUAAUAUGAAGGUUCUAACCUGCACCCGUGAAUCCGGGUGGGGGACACUGUCAGGUGGGCAGUUUGACUGGGGCG